UGCAUAAAUCAAGCGUUUAAGGGCGUGUAGUGGAUGCCUUGGCACUGAAAGCCGAUGAAGGACGUGAUAUACUGCGAUAAGUUUCGGGGAGCUGUAUGUAAGUUUUGAUCCGAAAAUUUCCGAAUGGGGAAACCCACCACUUUAUGUGGUACUUUAAACUGAAUACAUAGGUUUAAAGAGACAACCUGGAGAACUGAAACAUCUAAGUAACCAGAGGAAAAGAAAUCAAUUGAGAUUCCGUUAGUAGUGGCGAGCGAACGCGGACUAGGCCAGUAGUUUUGUUAAAAAAAUUUGAAUAGUUUGGAAAUGCUAACCAUAGAGGGUGAUAGUCCCGUAUGAGUAAUGUUUAACAAAAUUCUUGAGUAAAGCGGGACACGUGAAAUCCUGCUCGAAUAUAGGGGGACCACCCUCUAAGCCUAAAUACUCUUCAGUGACCGAUAGUGAACUAGUACCGUGAGGGAAAGGUGAAAAGAACCCCUAUUAGGGGAGUGAAAUAGAACCUGAAACUGCAUGCCUACAAUCAGUCGAAGCUCUUUUUAGAGUGACGGCGUACCUUUUGUAUAAUGGGUCAGUGACUUAAUUUAUUAAGCAAGCUUAAGCCAUCUAGGUGUAGGCGUAACGAAAAGCAAGUCUUAAUAGGGCGAUUAGUUUAAUGAAUUAGACCCGAAAACGAAUGAGCUUACCAUGAGCAGGUUGAAAGUUGGGUAACACCAACCGGAGGACCGAACCAGUUGACGUUGAAAAGUCUUUGGAUGACUUGUGGUAAGGGGUGAAAGGCCAACCAAAUUCGUAGAUAGCUGGUUUUCCGCGAAAACUAUUUAGGUAGUGCGAUGAAUAAAUAGAUGCUUAGAGGUAGAGCACUAAAUGGGCUAGGGGGAAGAGAUUCUUACCAAACCUAAUAAAACUCCGAAUGCUAAGUAUUGUUCUUCAUCAGACAGACUGUGGGUGCUAAGGUCCAUGGUCGAGAGGGAAAGAGCCCAGACCACCAGAUAAGGUCCCCAAAUUAUGAUUAAGUGUGAAAGGAUGUGGAAAUUCCUUAACAGCCGGGAGGUUGGCUUAGAAGCAGCCAUCCUUUAAAGAUAGCGUAACAGCUCACCGGUCUAAUAGAGUUUCUGCGCCGAAGAUGUAACGGGGCUAAAAUCAUAUACCGAAUCUGUGGGUUUAUAAAACUUUCGAGUUUUAUAAGCGGUAGCGGAACGUUCUGUAAGCCUUUGAAGGGAUACCCGUGAGGGAUCCUGGAGGUAUCAGAAGUGCGAAUGCUGACAUAAGUAACGAUAAAAGAAGUGAAAAACUUCUUCGCCGAAAAUCCAAGGGUUUCUGCGCAAGGUUAAUCCGCGCAGAGUUAGUCGGCACCUAAGGCGAGGGCGAAAGCGUAGUCGAUGGAAAUAAGGUUAAUAUUCCUUAACCAGAUGGUAGUGACGGAUCUUGUAAGUUGUGUACUCUUAAUGGAUUGAGUAUGCCGCGAAAAGGUUCCAAGAAAUAGCUCCAUCAUUAGACCGUACCCUAAACCGACACAGGUGGAUUAAUAGAGUAUAUUUAGGCGCUUGAGAGAAUGAUGUUGAAGGAACUCGGCAAAAUGCUUCCGUAACUUCGGGAUAAGGAAGACCUGUUUUUAGGCAACUAGAGAUGGGUGGCACAAGCCAGGGAGAAGCGACUGUUUAUCAAAAACACAGGGCUCUGCUAACACGUAAGUGGAUGUAUAGGGUCUGACGCCUGCCCGGUGCUGGAAGGUUAAUGCGGUUGGUGCAAGCUAACUUCUGAAGCCCCAGUAAACGGCGGCCGUAACUAUAACGGUCCUAAGGUA
rnacentral:sRNA from 1 species